GGGGCGUUAGCUCAGGGGUAGAGCAGUUGCCUUUUAAGCAAUUGGUCGAUGGUUCGAUUCCAUCACGCCUCACCA
rnacentral:tRNA from 4 species